rnacentral:rRNA from 1 species
AUUGAACGCUGGCGGCAGGCCUAACACAUGCAAGUCGAGCGGAUGAAGGGAGCUUGCUCCUGGAUUCAGCGGCGGACGGGUGAGUAAUGCCUAGGAAUCUGCCUGGUAGUGGGGGAUAACGUCCGGAAACGGGCGCUAAUACCGCAUACGUCCUGAGGGAGAAAGUGGGGGAUCUUCGGACCUCACGCUUUCAUAUGAGCCUAGGUCGGUUUCGCUAGUUGGUGGGGUAAAGGCCUACCAAGGCGACUAUCCGUAACUGGUCUGAGAGGAUGAUCAGUCACACUGGAACUGAGAAACGGUCCAGACUCCUACGGGAGGCAGCAGUGGGGAAUAUUGGACAAUGGGCGAAAGCCUGAUCCAGCCAUGCCGCGUGUGUGAAGAAGGUCUUCGGAUUGUAAAGCACUUUAAGUUGGGAGGAAGGGCAGUAAGUUAAUACCUUGCUGUUUUGACGUUACCAACAGAAUAAGCACCGGCUAACUUCGUG